CUUCCGUAAGGGGACCUGCGGAAGGAUCAUUAAAGAGUAAGGGUGCUCAGCGCCCGACCUCCAACCCUUUGUUGUUAAAACUACCUUGUUGCUUUGGCGGGACCGCUCGGUCUCGAGCCGCUGGGGAUUCGUCCCAGGCGAGCGCCCGCCAGAGUUAAACCAAACUCUUGUUAUUAAACCGGUCGUCUGAGUUAAAAUUUUGAAUAAAUCAAAACUUUCAACAACGGAUCUCUUGGUUCUCGCAUCGAUGAAGAACGCAGCGAAAUGCGAUAAGUAAUGUGAAUUGCAGAAUUCAGUGAAUCAUCGAAUCUUUGAACGCACAUUGCGCCCCUUGGUAUUCCGAGGGGCAUGCCUGUUCGAGCGUCAUUACACCACUCAAGCUAUGCUUGGUAUUGGGUGCCGUCCUUAGUUGGGCGCGCCUUAAAGACCUCGGCGAGGCCUCACCGGCUUUAGGCGUAGUAGAAUUUAUUCGAACGUCUGUCAAAGGAGAGGACUUCUGCCGACUGAAACCUUUAUUUUUCUAGGUUGACCUCGGAUCAGGUAGGGAUACCCGCUGAACUUAAGCAUAUCAAUAAGCGGAGGAA
rnacentral:rRNA from 1 species